rnacentral:rRNA from 1 species
UGAACGCUAGCUACAGGCUUAACACAUGCAAGUCGAGGGGCAUCAGGAAGAAAGCUUGCUUUCUUUGCUGGCGACCGGCGCACGGGUGAGUAACACGUAUCCAACCUGCCCUUUACUCGGGGAUAGCCUUUCGAAAGAAAGAUUAAUACCCGAUAGCAUAAUGAUUCCGCAUGGUUUCAUUAUUAAAGGAUUCCGGUAAAGGAUGGGGAUGCGUUCCAUUAGGUUGUUGGUGAGGUAACGGCCCACCAAGCCUUCGAUGGAUAGGGGUUCUGAGAGGAAGGUCCCCCACAUUGGAACUGAGACACGGUCCAAACUCCUACGGGAGGCAGCAGUGAGGAAUAUUGGUCAAUGGGCGCUAGCCUGAACCAGCCAAGUAGCGUGAAGGAUGAAGGCUCUAUGGGUCGUAAACUUCUUUUAUAUAAGAAUAAAGUGCAGUAUGUAUACUGUUUUGUAUGUAUUAUAUGAAUAAGGAUCGGCUAACUCCGUGCCAGCAGCCGCGGUAAUACGGAGGAUCCGAGCGUUAUCCGGAUUUAUUGGGUUUAAAGGGAGCGUAGGUGGACUGGUAAGUCAGUUGUGAAAGUUUGCGGCUCAACCGUAAAAUUGCAGUUGAUACUGUCAGUCUUGAGUACAGUAGAGGUGGGCGGAAUUCGUGGUGUAGCGGUGAAAUGCUUAGAUAUCACGAAGAACUCCGAUUGCGAAGGCAGCUCACUGGACUGCAACUGACACUGAUGCUCGAAAGUGUGGGUAUCAAACAGGAUUAGAUACCCUGGUAGUCCACACAGUAAACGAUGAAUACUCGCUGUUUGCGAUAUACAGUAAGCGGCCAAGCGAAAGCAUUAAGUAUUCCACCUGGGGAGUACGCCGGCAACGGUGAAACUCAAAGGAAUUGACGGGGGCCCGCACAAGCGGAGGAACAUGUGGUUUAAUUCGAUGAUACGCGAGGAACCUUACCCGGGCUUAAAUUGCAGUGGAAUGAUGUGGAAACAUGUCAGUGAGCAAUCACCGCUGUGAAGGUGCUGCAUGGUUGUCGUCAGCUCGUGCCGUGAGGUGUCGGCUUAAGUGCCAUAACGAGCGCAACCCUUAUCUUCAGUUACUAACAGGUUAUGCUGAGGACUCUGGAGAGACUGCCGUCGUAAGAUGUGAGGAAGGUGGGGAUGACGUCAAAUCAGCACGGCCCUUACGUCCGGGGCUACACACGUGUUACAAUGGGGGGUACAGAAGGCAGCUACCUGGUGACAGGAUGCUAAUCCCAAAAGCCUCUCUCAGUUCGGAUCGAAGUCUGCAACCCGACUUCGUGAAGCUGGAUUCGCUAGUAAUCGCGCAUCAGCCACGGCGCGGUGAAUACGUUCCCGGGCCUUGUACACACCGCCCGUCAAGCCAUGGGAGCCGGGGGUACCUGAAGUACGUAACCGCAAGGAUCGUCCUAGGGUAAAACUGG